UACGAAGGGGGCUAGCGUUGUUCGGAAUUACUGGGCGUAAAGCGCACGUAGGCGGACUAUUAAGUCAGGGGUGAAAUCCCGGGGCUCAACCCCGGAACUGCCUUUGAUACUGGUAGUCUCGAGUCCGGAAGAGGUAAGUGGAACUGCGAGUGUAGAGGUGAAAUUCGUAGAUAUUCGCAAGAACACCAGUGGCGAAGGCGGCUUACUGGUCCGGUUCUGACGCUGAGGCGCGAAAGCGUGGGGAGCAAACAGG
rnacentral:rRNA from 1 species